GGAUUGUGGCUCAGCGGUAGAGUGCUUGCCUAGCACAUGUGAGGCCCUGGAUUCGAUCCUCAGCACCA
rnacentral:tRNA from 1 species